rnacentral:sRNA from 1 species
UUUACCAUUUUAUUCCUGCCCAGUUUGGCAGUCAUAAGCCCGCAUUAUGCUCACUUAAUUAACCGAAAGCCGCUUAGGAGAAUCUCCGCAGACCAAGAUGACGACGGCCUGGCCAAGGGACUUAACUUUAAUGUGUGCUGGUCGAGAUGAGUAAGCCGCUUUUUGGUGGCAGUCUUGGAAUUUUCACGGCCGUUGAUUUUGGUGCAGCCCACGCUGGAAUUUUGGCCACAGGAAGUAGCGCAAAGAAUCUGUUUGCUGUGGAAACCCCACAAAGACUAUGCCCCUCACAAAGUUUGUUGUUUUUGUGCUUGUUUUCUGCUGCUUUUCAUAAAUACAUAUUCUUAUCAAUCCGGCA